GGAAAAUGAGAGGGAUUCAUUUCAUGAUACUGGGAAGGCUUCACAUCAUCACGUGAGGGUAGACCCGGAUUACCUGAGAUGUGACCCUACAGGGGUCACGUUAAAGUUCAGAAAUCUACAUUUUCAAAACGCAGACCUUCAAAAAAGGAUCUUGUUUGCAGACAUUCUGGUUAAACUGAUCCUGUGGGUGGAAGGCUUCUUGGCUGCCAUCUUCUUCGGCACACUGGUGGCCAUCUUGGCUUUGUGGGUUGGCAUCUCCGUGCCCCUUACCUUCGUGGGCGCCUAGCCUACUUCGGCCUCGAGGCCUGUGAGUUUCACCUAUCACACUGUCUGAAUGAAUAACUCUGUCAGGUCAUCUUACAUUAUGUGCAUUUUCUAUGCUACUCUCUGUGCUCCAGGUGAUUGAGCUGCCAGUGCGAACCAACUAUAUCACUCGGCAGAUCUAUGAAAAUUGAUUAAUCACCAAGCCCGUGCCUGGAAUCGGCUUGGGGGGGCAUCCUGACCUUCGGCUGCAUCUGCAUCCAGCACUUCUUCAUCCUCAACAGCAUCUGAUAAGAACAAGGGUCAAGUCUGCUACUCAACCAUGAGCCUGAAUUUGCCUAGUGGUGCUCGUAUAAUGAUUCCUAAAGAAACAAACAA
rnacentral:lncRNA from 1 species